GUGUGAGCAGUAACCAGGAGGGAACGGCUGCAUGGGGAGGAACCUUGGAGUGGUGGCCCUGCACCAGCUGUUCCUCACACAUCUUUCUUCUGUCUUUUCACUUCAGGCAGACAUACAUGAGAGGGACUGGACUGGACUGGACUGAGACUCUUGGCCUCAAAGACAGAGUAGCUCGGAGACUCCCAGGCUGAGCUGUUGAACAAAUGGGCUCUAGGCUCAUCCACCUCAGCAGACCUGAGAGUCCUCAGUAGUCUGUGAGAGCACAAAGGGACUCCGAGACCAAACGUUUGAAAAAUCACUGUUGUACAGCAUGAGAUCUAGAAGCAAAGAAGCCAGAAGAAUAGACCAUGCAGCUGCAUCACUCUCCAGGUGAAAGGGCCCCACAGCUGCCAUCAUGAAUGCCAUGGACUUCUCAGCGAGAGAUCCUAUACUUUCGUUCUGCACUUGGCUCUACAAAUUAUAUAGCAGCUGUGACAACAGUAACAGGUGAAAGGAUUAAAUUAUGAUUAAUUCAUCAACUGCUUCCAACUGAA